GGGCGGGCUGGGGAAGGCCGCGGGCCUCGACGCUCCGGGACCCCCUGCAACCGCUCCAAACGAAAAGCCCCGGUUCUACGAGCCGCCGCCGCCGCCCUGAGAAAGAGCCCGCCCAGGCCGAACGCCCACGUGACGCUAGCCCCCCCUCACUCCGGUCUCCGCCAGGCUGCUGGGGAUUGUAGUUCUUCGGGCCCUGAGGCUCCGCUCUCCGGCCGCAGCUGUGCGGAGGGACUACAAAGCCCAGGAUGCAUCGCGGGCCCUCCGCGGCCCCUGAGUCGCCCGAGAUCGCCGCAGAGUGGUCCCAGCGAGAGGAGGGCGGGGCCUAAGUCUCGCCAGCGAGGAGGCGGCCAGUGGUGGCCGAGGCGGGCGGGCUGGGGAAGUCGGGGGCUCCCGCCUGGCGGGGCGGCGGAAAGCCUGUCUUCAAGACCAUUCCCGGCAGAGUGAGUGCAGGAGCUGGAAAGAACAUCUAAAGGGGCCAAGAGACUGUCUUCCUGUCUCAUAUUUAUUGUCUACAAAAUGCAAUAAAUCCAGCCCAUCAUGCAAAGUGA